AUAUUUUGAGUGUCUGUUUCAUGCUCAUUAUCAUCUCGUUCUGUAGUGUCAUCUCCAUGUCCAUCCUCUAUGUGCUCAAUCUUCAACACCAUGGACGCAUAAGUGAUGUUGAGGGCCGGUCUCGUUCUGCUUUGGGUUCAGCUCGUCAGGCUUCUUUCUCCCCUGCCAGAGUGACCACAUCCACUCUCUCCCCAGACUCCACCGCCCCAUCAUUGUCCAAUCACCCGCCCUGCUGCCCUCCAACACCUGCCACAACCAACCAAUCAGCCACUAUCAGUCUGUUGCCAGGCAACAACCAAUCCACUCCAGACUCCAGCACUGGUGUUCCCACCCAGGCCACUAUUAACAAGAAGGCAAAGUCUCGGCCGCUGGACAAAGACAACCGGAAUAAGAACCGUCUGAGUCACACGUCAGCUCCUCUGUUCCUCAGUAAAGGCAAACGGCCGCCUCAGCCUCCAGAGCUGAGAGGAGCAACCAAACACUUGCCUGGUGGACAACAGCCACCGUCCCGGAGACAGCGC
rnacentral:lncRNA from 1 species